UAUGAGGUCCCAAAGAAACAAGUUUUAUG
rnacentral:piRNA from 1 species